AAUGAGUAAAGCUAAAAUGAAGGUGUUGAGAUGGAUGAGUGGCAUUAGAAGACAAUACAAAAUAAACUAUGAAUGCACUAAGGGAAGUUAGGAGUGCUACCAAUUGAAGAUAAAAUGAGGGGAAAUUGUCCAUGACAGUAUGGCUUUGUGUAAUAAACUAACUCUCUUUUGGUAGAGGAAGGUGAAAGAGGCAAUGGAUGAGGUGGUAGAAAGGACAUGACUGCCCUAUAUUUUAGUGAGGGCAUGACUUCUAGUUGAGCCAACUGAAGGAAACUGUUCCAUGUACCCAACCCGAGCAAUUAGGAUAAAGGCUUGUCGAGCUGAGGUAAAAUUUUGCAUUUUAUUCUCCAGUUGUUACUUUAUAUUAUACAUAUACUUCAAAAUGGUCAACGAAUUCGUGUUGGAGAUGCUACAUUGCCUGGACUUCUGAUUAGUUGGAUAACUAUAUAUCCAACUAUACUUUUUAUUCAAAGAUGUAGUAUGCAGUCUUUCACCAGCAAAAGAUCAGCAUGAAACUUUUGGAUCACUAAUGAAAGUGGUGAGAGCCCUAACAUGGAGGUACCUUGCAAGUACCGGUACCCGGUAAGUACCCAUGCUUCAUAGGGCGGUGGUUCUUAAGAAGCAUGCUAGUCCUUUUUUUUUUUUUUCGUCUUCAUGGAGGAUGUUAGGAGGCACUUUAUGGAGAGGCAUCUAAAUAUAUCAUGUGCUGCUGUCAUCAGUAAAGUGCAGAGUGAUAAAUGAAAAUCAAUGUCUGAAGUGAAAAAGCUCCUUUUGUCAGAAGAGCGGCUUAUUGAUUUUUUUUUGGUGGUUGGACAUGGAUGGAUUUCG
rnacentral:lncRNA from 1 species